UUGACAUGAGUAACGAUAAAGCGAGUGAAAAGCUCGUUCGCCGAAAGCCCAAGGAUUCCUACGUGACGUUAAUCGGCGUAGGGUAAGUCGGCCCCUAAGGUCAGGCAGAAAUGCGUAGCUGAUGGGAAACGGGUUAAUAUUCCCGUACUUUUUAAUAGUAAGCGAAGUGGGGACGAAGAAGGAUAGGUUAUCAAUCUGUUGGAAUAGAUUGUCCAAGCAUGUAGGU
rnacentral:rRNA from 13 species